UGGUGGAGUGAUCUGUCUGGUUAAUUCCGAUAACGAACGAGACCUUAUCCUGCUAAAUAGACUGCCUAAUGUAAAUUGGGGUUUCAGUCUUCUUAGAGGGACUGCGGACGUUUAGUCCGCGGAAGUUUGAGGCAAUAACA
rnacentral:rRNA from 1 species